rnacentral:sRNA from 1 species
CUGCUGCGGGCAGAUCCAGUGAAUAUGCGUAUCGACGCCGCCGGCGGUGACGAUCUUGCCUUCUGCGGCAAUAAUUUCCGUGGCCGCGCCGAUCGGGAUCGUGACGUUGGGUUGAAUAUCCGGGUUGCCGGCUUUGCCGAUGGCGAAGAUCCUUCCAUCUUUGACGCCGAUAUCGGCUUUAACGAUCCCCCAGUAAUCGACGAUCAGGGCAUUGGUCAGCACCAGAUCCGCGCACCCGGCGGAAAGCAUCUGCCCCUGUCCCAUACCGUCGCG